rnacentral:rRNA from 1 species
GAGUUUGAUCCUGGCUCAGAGCGAACGCUGGCGGCAGGCCUAAUACAUGCAAGUCGAACGGACCCUUCGGGGUUAGUGGCGGACGGGUGAGUAACACGUGGGAACGUGCCCUUUGGUUCGGAACAACUCAGGGAAACUUGAGCUAAUACCGAAUGUGCCCCCAUCCUUAAACAAGGUGGGUGGGAAAGGUUUAUCGCCAUUGGAGCGGCCCGCGUCUGAUUAGCUAGUUGGUGGGGUAAAGGCUCACCAAGGCGACGAUCAGUAGCUGGUCUGAGAGGAUGACCAGCCACACUGGGACUGAGACACGGCCCAGACUCCUACGGGAGGCAGCAGUAGGGAAUCUUGCGCAAUGGGCGAAAGCCUGACGCAGCCAUGCCGCGUGAAUGAUGAAGGUCUUAGGAUUGUAAAAUUCUUUCAGCGGGGACGAUAAUGACGGUACCCGCAGAAGAAGCCCCGGCUAACUUCGUGCCAGCAGCCGCAGUAAC